GAUCAUAAUGGCGGCACAGCCUACUGCAGGACCAUCAAAGAGCAGUUACCAAGAACACAAACAGGAACGUGUUGUCAAGAGAAGGAAGACCAAAGCAGAGGAACUCAUUGAUUGGCAAAUUAUAUACUUUCAAAAUCAGGUGGAAUUGGCACAGCAAGAGAAGGAAAUCAAUCGGGUGAAGCUGAGAGUGAUGGAAAAAUAUGAAAAAAAAACUUGAUACAGA